rnacentral:rRNA from 1 species
GGGAAGAGCCCAGCACCGAAUCCUGCAGGGCAUCGCCCGUGGGAAAUGUGGUGUUAGGGAGGAUCCGUCAUCCCGGUUUCGCCAUGGCGUGUCRAAGUCCGACUUGAACGUGGCCAUAAUCCCGAGAGGGUGACAGGCCCGUAGGACCGUCUAGCGUUCCGGGAGGAUCUCUCCUCAGAGUCGGGUUGCUUGAGAAUGCAGCCCUAAGUGGGUGGUAAACUCCAUCUAAGGSUAAAUACGACCACGAGACCGAUAGCGAACAAGUACCAUGAGGGAAAGUUGAAAAGAACUUUGAAGAGAGAGUUCAAGAGUACGUGAAACCGUUCAGGGGUAAACGGGAGAAGUCCUGAAUUCGAAAGGUUUAAUUCAAAGGAAACCCGGCAUGCCUGGAGCGAGACUGUCUUUCGCAAGAUGUCGGCGGCCGCCCGCGAACUGGAACGUUUGGUUCGCGGUGUCGAUCCCGUCGGUCACUCGGCGUUCUGACUGUGUUCUCGAACCGGCGUGUGGAAGUGCCUUCUGAGUAGAAGCGUCGCGACCCGUUGGGUGCCGGCCACAAGGCCCGGGAAGGAAGCCCGUUCCCACCAAGCGUUUCGGAGCGUGCGUUUCGCUGAAGUGGUGCGGACUCCCGGUGUCCCGGUCGGCUGCCCGACGGUACGAAUGGGGUUGAUCCGCUGAGUGGAAUACCAGUGCUCUUGUAGCGUCCGGCGCUGGCUCCCGCGCCCGCGGGUGUGUACGUGCGGUCUCGUGUCCGGAAUGGGGGACCCACUGCCUCCUGCUGACAUGUGGGACGUCGGUGUUCUCGGACAGGAUCUGUCUCUCCAGUCGGCGACGUCCACCAUCGGAUUUUCUACCCGACCCGUCUUGAAACACGGACCAAGGAGUCUAACAUGUGCGCAAGUCAUUGGGUGUUACUAAACCUAAAGGCGAAAUGAAAGUGAAAGGCCGGCCAUUGGAAUUUGGUCGACCCUAGGGAAGAUGGUUACGGGAGAAUCCCGACCCUCCGGGGGAAGGAGAACCGGCCCGCAUUCCCGGGGCGUCUCGUCCUCAUUGCGAGGUGAGGCGUACCUAGAGCGUACACGUUGGUACCCGAAAGAUGGUGAACUAUGCCCGGCCAGGAUGAAGUCAGGGGAAACCCUGAUGGAGGUCCGUAGCGGUUCUGACGUGCAAAUCGAUCGUGAGAGCCGGGUAUAGGGGCGAAAGACCAAUCGAACCAUCUAGUAGCUGGUUCCCUCCGAAGUUUCCCUCAGGAUAGCUGUCGCUCAAUGUGAUGUGAAAGGGAAGGAGUCUCAUACGGUAAAGCGAAUGAUUAGAGGCGUUGGGGACGAAACGUCCUCAACCUAUUCUCAAACUUUAAAUGGGUGAGAUCCCCGGCUUGCUUGAUCGCUGUUUGAAGCCGGGGCAAAGGAUCACGAGUGACUAGUGGGCCGCUUCUGGUAAGCAGAACUGGCGCUGUGGGAUGAACCAAACGCUGAGUUACGGCGCCAAAAUCGACGCUUAUGGGAAACCAUGAAAGGCGUUGGUUGCUAGAGACAGCAGGGCGGUGGCCAUGGAAGUCGGAAUCCGCUAAGGAGUGUGUAACAACUCACCUGCCGAAGCAACUAGCCCUGAAAAUGGAUGGCGCUCAAGUGUCGUGCCUAUACUCGGCCGUCAGUGGCAAUCGGAGUGGAGUAGCGGUGAUACGCUCGUCACAAAGAAGCCCUGAUGAGUAGGAGGGUCGCGGCGGUGAGCGCAGAAGGGCGAGGCGUGAGCCAGCCUGGAGCCAUCGUCGGUGCAGAUCUUGGUGGUAGUAGCAAAUACUUGAACGAGGCCUUGGAGGACUGAGUUGCGGGGAAGGGUUUCGUGUGAAACAGCAGUUGCACACGAGUUAGUCGAUCCUAAGCCCUACGUGGAAACUGAUGUCGAUGGGUGGUCUGGGGAGUCGGCCACGUCACCACCGGCACGGGCGAAAGGGAAUCCGUUUGGAAUUCCGGAACCCGGCAACGGCAUCGUUCCAAUGUGCGGACCCUCGCGAGUUCGGCGGGGCAACCCGUGUUUAACCCGGAGAAGCCGUCGGGGGGCCUGGGCAGAGUUUUCUUUUCUGUUUUAGCAGUCCGGGCGCCAUGGAAUCCCUCAACGGGGAGAUAUGGUGUGGGACCGCGCAGAGCACCGCACUCGCUGCGGUGUCCAGAUCCUCCCCUCGGACAAUGAAAAUCCAGGAGAGGGAUACGCGGAACGC